AUUGAACGCUGGCGGCAGGCCUAACACAUGCAAGUCGAGCGGAUGAAGGGAGCUUGCUCCUGGAUUCAGCGGCGGACGGGUGAGUAAUGCCUAGGAAUCUGCCUGGUAGUGGGGGAUAACGUCCGGAAACGGGCGCUAAUACCGCAUACGUCCUGAGGGAGAAAGUGGGGGAUUUUCGACCCUCCCGCUAUCAGAUGAGCCUAGGCCGGAUUAGCUAGUUGGUGGGGUAAAGGCCUACCAAGGCGACGAUCCGUAACUGGUCUGAGAGGAUGAUCAGUCACACUGGAACUGAGACACGGUCCAGACUCCUACGGGAGGCAGCAGUGGGGAUAUUGGACAAUGGGCGAAAGCCUGAUCCAGCCAUGCCGCGUGUGUGAAGAAGGUCUUCGGAUUGUAAAGCACUUUAAGUUGGGAGGAAGGGCAGUAAGUUAAUACCUUGCUGUUUUGACGUUACCAACAGAAUAAGCACCGGCUAACUUCGUG
rnacentral:rRNA from 1 species